CCUUUAAGAAGCAGGAACGUGAGUUACCGUUCUGCUCAGGAGUAUCGCGAGAGUUCACCUGCGAGCAGCGCGAGAGUUCACCUGUGAGCAGCGCGAUUUACAAAAUGGCGCCGGUGGUGCUGGUGUGUUUCUUGCUGAUUUCUGUUGAGUCAUUUCUCUUCAGCGUGAAAGCAAACCUCGUCAUUAUUUCUCAACGCGCGGGAGAAAACCCUGCUCCAUAGGCCCUAUGUGUAUAUAUCAGACCGGAUGUGACGCAUCAGGGUGAGUUUUAUUCAGUUGUAUUGUUUUCAGAAGUCUUUAUCCCAAGAAAAUGUGUAUUUCCUAAUAUGAGUGAAAUAAUAAUGUUGUAGUAGCUUCAUGUUUUCAGGGUGUUGAGGGGAAAGGUUUGUAUUUUGUCUUUGACUGAACACAAUGAGAGAGGUGCCAGUGUGAUGAGCAGUACGUUUAAAUCAUUUCAUUAAUUUCCAAAGUGGUAGUAAAUAUAAUGUUUAUUCACUAAUGUGAGCGAUAAAUAGCCAAAAUGUUUGCAGUGUUUAAAAUGUAUUCCUUCUAACCAAGUUUCAUUUUAAUUGACACUUUUUUUUUUUACACCUGAAGCAGCCUUAUAUGGUAUUUCAUGUAUACAAAUAUAAUAUUUGUAUGUGUAUGUCGUCCUCUAGGAUAGAAGAAACAUUGUCUGUGUAAUCAGUUGUCUAGGUUGCCCGUUGCUUGUUCCAUUAUUUACUACUGCCUAUAAGGAAAGGGGAAAAGGGAGACGGACUCAUUUUGUUGUUUGUAUAAAACCACAUACAAAUCUAUUCUGUAUUUAGUCAAUAUAGAUGAUUUUCAUUCCUAAAUUCUAAUCUGCCCAAAAUCUGCAUAGUUAAUGCUGCCUGAUUUUACAUUUUGUCCUGUGACUUGUUUUGUCAUUUAUUCACAUUCUGGGCCACGUAUUGAGCAAUAACAGAUGUACGAUUUCUCUUUGUAGUAUUUGUUGUGGCACACGAUGAUCUAGUUUAAAUAUCAUUAAUAGGUCAUGUUUGAUUAAAUAUCAUUAAAAGCAUCAGGUUUUGUCCACCACUUUUGUAUUAGAGGUUCCACCCCUGAUUAGUUUUUUUUUAUUUUAUGGUUAGUUUGUGGACUUUCUAUAAGAAAUGUUAUUUUAUUCUGAUAAUUCUAUAUUCUAUUAAAGAGUUGUUUUUUUUUUUUUCUAUUUUACAAAAACCCCUUUAUUCCUCAUACAUCCUAAAUACAUAUGCAAGUGAUCGCGAUGAAUCAAUUUAAUUAGCUGGUGAUGUCAUCUGGCGACGGCGAAGCACUUUUUGAACGAGAUGACGACGCUGCAGUCAUGUGGACUUUUUUUUUUUGAUAAGAGCCAGGUAAAGGUCAGAACAGAACUAUGAAGGUAAAACAUGCCGAAAGGAGGAAAAAGCCGUCGGAGAGUGGAUCUGACCUGGAGGAUUACAGUGGAAUGGAUUGUUUGGUGACAUCGUUACCUGUAAAAGGUAAGAAACUUGACGUAAAUGGACCAGAAGAGUGUUGUUUGACUGGUGUUUCUUUUACUGCGGAAAAAUUGCGUUUCAUUUCCACACACGUGAAUAUUUUCAUAUAUUAGCACACAACAAACUACUGUUAAACUACAUGAGUGUGAAUAUGACACAAACAUAUUCACACUGCUGAUUUCAACCUACACAUCCACUCGUUUAAUCAACUCGGGAAACACCUGAUCCUCUCUCUCUCUCUUCCUCCUCCCUCUUGGAUGGAAACAUGGCUACUGUUGCCAUGCACCAUGUCUAGUUUAUGCUACACCACCAUGUCUUGUUAGGCUGAUUAAUUAUAACGUUAAGCUUUUUCAUUAUACAUCUCUCCUAUAUUUUCUGUCCGUUGUUCUAGUAGCUGCUGUCCUGUGAUUUAGCAGCCCUGCUUUUUUCUGGAUGGAGUAGUUAUAAAUUCAUGUCAUUGUGUAUGUAUAGGGCUUAAAUAAUGGUUCAAUCAAAUCCGAAAGUCCGCUGGUUUUCAGCCUAAGGCUCGCUUUCAUUUGGACUUAACGGACGGCCUCGACUGCUUUAAGACUCGGUCUUCGCCUGAUCUCGGCUGGUCCUUCUCUUGGAUUUGUCUCGGGCUGCUCUUGGACCGAGGCGGUCCUGACUACAGCCUUAAAUAUUGCUGGAUUAAAAAAAAAAAAAAAAAAAAAAA